UGUUAUGAUUGAGCCUCAUGGCUCUGCUACUGGGAAGCGUGGGCAUAAGACUCCUCGAGAGUCAGAUACUCUCGAGGAGCGAGAAAGAAAGAGGCUGCGAGAUAUCUUUGCAGAACCAUCUGACGAGGAUUCUUUUGAGGGGUUUACAGAGAGAAUGGAGGAAGAGGUGGUGAGCUCGGAAGAGGAUGAGAUGGAUUGGACUCGGGUAAGGGAGGAAUUGGGUGCCACUGGCAAUGAUGGGAUGGAAGAUGAUUGGGGACCUUCAGGACUAGACCCAUGGACAAGCUGGAGGGAUGGGACGGGAUCCACAGCUGGGGAUGCUGCGGGGCGUAGUCAGAGGUGUUCCAGCUCUGAUGAGGAAAGUGAUGAGGAAACGCCCGGGUUAAGGAGGGCAGCUGAUAGUGAUGAGGACUUGUAACUGGCAUAAAAUGGGGUUUGGGAGCAAUUGCAAAUUGCGUUGGGCAAGGUAAUCUGGACGAACGCUUGGGAUCUGUGUGGGACGUUUUCCUGAAGACGGGUGUGUUUCGUGUGCUGACUACCUUUGACCUUCCGUCGUCUUCUUGACGGACGCCAUCUGCUACUCUGGAUUUACGGACUGAACUGACUACGGGCUCGGAUUCUCCUACCUGGACUUGGUGAACUACAAACGUCUGCUUCUGCCUGACGACCUUCGGAAAGAACUGGGACUACGCUACUGCUUCAAUCCUCGGCUGUUGUGUUUGUAUUGGAACCUUGCCUGCUGUGUGGAGGAGUAACUUCUAAGUUACUCAAAACAUAGUGCUGGCAGCAGAGAAGCAUCUGCUGCCAAUUAGUUACAUUCUUUUGAACUCUUUGUUCACCAGUUUCUGUUUUGUUUAUUCUCAGGCUGAAGCAAGCUGUUUUGAUUUUGUCCGGAUUAAACUCCGGUUUAAUCCGGUUUAUCUUUUGAAUGUUUUUCUUGCCCCUUUUUGCUUUUUAAGGCCAGUGUUGCCUAGCCCUUGUCUUUUACGGGCAUUUUGAGUUCUGUAAAUCCAAUAAACUCUGUUAUCUUUGA